AUGGCUGAAAAACACCUGUUUCAAAGUGAAAGUCUAAGGAGCAAUAAAAAGAUUAAUCUCAUCGUUCCGUUUACCCUCCCAACACUUGUUACCACUGGAUCGUCGUCUCUGAGAAGACUUGUUGGUUUUGGAGGCUACUCUACAAUAACUACAGUUUGUACUGUUCAAAAGAACAGAAUCACAUCACGCGCGCCAUGUUGCUCUUUUCUCCAGGUUAUUUCUGAUACAAACAUACUCCAGCGGAGGAUCCCCCCAAGUUUCAGAGACCCUGCCAGUGCUCCACUGAGGAAGCUCUCUGUUGACCUCAUCAAAACAUACAAGCACAUCAAUGAGGUGUAUUAUACUAAGAAGAAGAGGCGGGCCCAGCAAGUCCCUCCAGAAGACAGCAGCACCAAGAAGGAGAGAAAAGUUUACAACGAUGGCUACGACGAUGACAACUACGACUACAUUGUUAAAAAUGGAGAAAAGUGGCUGGACCGCUAUGAGAUAGACUCACUGAUUGGGAAAGGCUCAUUUGGACAGGUGGUGAAGGCCUACGACCACCAUGAGCAGGAAUGGAUCGCCAUUAAGAUCAUCAAGAACAAAAAGGCCUUUCUAAACCAGGCCCAGAUUGAACUACGCCUGCUGGAGCUCAUGAACAAGCAUGACACUGAAAUGAAAUAUUACAUAGUCCACCUGAAGCGUCACUUUAUGUUUAGAAACCAUCUCUGUUUGGUGUUUGAGUUGUUAAGCUACAAUCUGUAUGAUCUUUUGAGGAAUACCAACUUCAGAGGAGUUUCCCUCAAUCUCACCAGGAAAUUUGCACAACAGCUCUGUACAGCUUUAUUAUUCCUGGCCACUCCAGAGUUGUCAAUCAUCCACUGUGACCUAAAACCAGAGAAUAUCCUGCUGUGUAACCCCAAACGGUCUGCCAUCAAGAUUGUGGACUUUGGAUCUUCCUGUCAGCUUGGACAGAGGAUCUAUCAGUACAUCCAAAGCAGGUUUUACCGAUCUCCUGAAGUUCUGUUGGGAAUGCCAUAUGACCUGGCCAUCGACAUGUGGUCUCUGGGAUGUAUCCUGGUGGAGAUGCACACGGGAGAGCCUCUCUUCAGUGGCUCUAAUGAGGUUGACCAAAUGAAUAAAAUCGUGGAGGUUCUGGGUGUCCCGCCCAGCCACAUGCUGGAUGCAGCACCUAAAGCUAGGAAGUACUUUGACAAGUUGUCAGAUGGUCUUUGGACUGUCAAGAAGAACAAGGACUCAAAGAAGGAGUAUAAACCUCCAGCAACACGGCGUCUUCAUGAGAUUUUGGGUGUUGAAACAGGGGGUCCAGGGGGGCGGCGGGCAGGGGAGCCAGGACACGCCCCCUGUGACUACCUGAAGUUUAAAGAUCUGAUCUUGCGCAUGCUGGAUUAUGAUCCAAAAAGCCGCAUCACACCAUUCUACGCACUGCAGCACAACUUCUUCAAGAAGACAACAGAUGAAGGAACUAACACCAGUUCAUCGACAUCCACGUCCCCCGCCAUGGACCACUCCCAUUCAGCCUCCACUACCAGCUCUGUGUCUAGCUCUGGUGGCUCCAGUGGUUCUUCCAACGACAACCGCAACUACCGCUACAGCAACCGCUACUACAACUCUGCUGUGACACACUCAGACUAUGAGAUGACGAGCCCUCAGGUAGACCCUCCUCCAGCAACAUCUACACCCAAACCGCCUGUCUUGGGUUUGGUCUUUAACAGUAAACAGGAAAUGGUCAAUCCAGCUGCCUCCCAGCAACACCAGCGCCACUUCCUGGACCCACCCCACCACCCCCACCCAACCUACUCCCAUCACGGAAAUGGCGAGCGCGGCCUGCGCCAGGCUGGACAGACGGGCAUCGGUGGAGGUGGGGGCCAGCAGGGAUCCCCGCCAGAAAUGAGUGACAGCAUGGAUGUGGGUGUGUCCCUGGGGCUGCACCACCUGGGGGCAGUGUCUUCCAUGGAGGCCUCUCAGUUUGGUUCUGCCUCUCUGCCCCUCUCUCUGCCAAUUGGAUUAUCAGCCUUCCGAACUCGUACAGCCCCCAACGCCCCAGGGCCAAAAGCCCCACCCCCUGACGACUACUACCCUGUCUCCAACAAUAAUAAUGCUACUGCAGGGGGCAGAGGCAGGCCAGACUCAGAGGAGGGGGCAGCCAACUCUUGA
ensembl:lncRNA